rnacentral:rRNA from 1 species
AAGCAGGGGAUCGCAAGACCUUGCGCUUUUGGAGCGGCCGAUGCCUGAUUAGCUAGUUGGUGGGGUAAUGGCCUACCAAGGCGACGAUCAGUAGUUGGUCUGAGAGGACGACCAGCCACACUGGGACUGAGACACGGCCCAGACUCCUACGGGAGGCAGCAGUGGGGAAUUUUGGACAAUGGGCGAAAGCCUGAUCCAGCAAUGCCGCGUGAGUGAAGAAGGCCUUCGGGUUGUAAAGCUCUUUCAGUCGAGACGAAAAGGUUGUGACUAAUAAUCACAACUCAUGACGGUAUCGACAGAAGAAGCACCGGCUAACUACGUGCCAGCAGCCGCGGUAAUACGUAGGGUGCGAGCGUUAAUCGGAAUUACUGGGCGUAAAGGGUGCGCAGGCGGCUUUGUAAGUCAGAUGUGAAAUCCCCGGGCUUAACCUGGGAAUUGCGUUUGAAACUACAAAGCUAGAGU